rnacentral:rRNA from 1 species
UACGUAGGGUGCAAGCGUUAAUCGGAAUUACUGGGCGUAAAGCGUGCGCAGGCGGUUGUGCAAGACCGAUGUGAAAUCCCCGGGCUUAACCUGGGAACUGCAUUUGUGACUGCACAGCUGGAGUGCGGCAGAGGGGGGAUGGAAUUCCGCGUGUAGCAGUGAAAUGCGUAGAUAUGCGGAGGAACACCGAUGGCGAAGGCAAUCCCCUGGGCCUGCACUGACGCUCAUGCACGAAAGCGUGGGGGAGCAAACAGG